AAUGAAUGUUGGCGGCGUGGAUUAGGCAUGCAAGUCGUACGCUUUAUGUAGCAAUACAUGAAGAGUGGCGUAAGGGAGAGUAAUGCAUGGUUAGCUACCCUGGGGACUGGGAUAGCGGCGGGAAACUGCCGGUAAUACCAGAUGACAUCUUCGGAUCAAACGUGUGAAACGGCCCUAGGAGGUGACCAUGUCCUAUCAGCUAGUUGGCGGUGUAACGGACCACCAAGGCUAAGACGGGUAUGGGGCGUGAGAGCGUGCCCCCACUCACUGGGACUGAGACACUGCCCAGACACCUACGGGUGGCUGCAGUCGAGAAUCUUCGGCAAUGGGCGCAAGCCUGACCGAGCGACGCCGCGUGCGGGAUGAAGGCCUUCGGGUUGUAACCGCUGUCGUAGGGGAGGAAGAUCCUGUGAAGAACAGGGUUUGACCGAUCCUAGGAGGAAGGGCCGGCUAAUCUCGUGCCAG
rnacentral:rRNA from 1 species